AGCCACCCAGGCGCCCUUCAGUAGUUCCAUUUUAAAACAACUAUAAAUCUGUCAUUUUUUUUCUGGAACUGCCAGCCUGUAGCAUUUUUUUUUCAUUACAAGGCAGAUCCUUAUUCAUAUUGCUACUAAAUGGGAGAGGUUCCUUGCACUCACUAUAUUUUUUCUUGAAUUGCUCUAUAAGCAAGUUCAUUUUUUUCCAAAGUCGUGUAACUUCUCUGUUUUUAUAUAAAUCCGUUAUUUAAAUAAACUAUAAAAAAUUUAAUUUCUGUUAAGUAUAGUGUCAGUCCCACAAAAUAUGCCCAACAGAUUGAUGUUUGAAUUAGUAUAUAACCUUGAUAAGACAACUAGUCUAGUGGUUAAAAAUUUAUUUGGAUGACAUGAACAGAAUUUGUUUUCUUUGGAAGUUAACCCAUCAAUCUGGAAAUAAACACUAAAAUACUUGAAUGAAAAGAACCCAUCUGAUUUUCUUGGCGUUGCAUGGAUUCUGUGUGGUUUUGGAGGUCACUCCAAAUUUUCUGAUUCAGCUUUAUCUUCACAAGUAAUGGAGAAACUCACUUCUGGUGAGGUGAGAGUACCCACACGAGAUUGAAGGCGUUCUUCAGAAAUGUGGUUUCCCCUUAAGGUAAAGGCAUGUCUUUCUUGUGUCUAAAGAUGAGCUAACAAUUACUGAGCUGACAUUUAUUGUGGCGAUAAUUUUACAUACCUGAUAUUAUCUACAUCACAAUUCAUUUUUGAAUCAAUAUCUUUGGCGAUGGGGCUCACAAAUCUCAGAGAGGAAAUAACUUUUCCCAAAGUCACACUAGUGAUGAGAGGUACAGUUAAGCACUGAGCCAAGGUGUGUGCAGUCCAAGCCUAUUUGCACGAAUGAUAGUGCUGUAUAUCGUGUCUAAUUCACUGCUGUUUCUUAGAAUACAUCAGAUUCCCUUUUGCUGACUCAUUGCAGAAUGCCUCUGAUUAAUGAAAUUCUCCAUAUAGGUCUUACAAAUGAAUGUUUCAACAACACAAAAUCUUUGGGUGAAAGGGUGUGGGGGUAUUUUUUCUCUUUUUUUUUUUGAGGCGAGAGAGAGUGGGGGAGGGGAGAGAAAGAGAGAGAGAAGGAAAGAGAGAACCCCAAGCAGGCUCUGUGCUGUCAGCACAGAAUUUGACACAGGGCUCAAUCCCAUGAACCGUGAGAUCAUGACCUGAGCCGGAACCAAGAGGCUGAUGCUUAACCUACAUAAGCAUCAUAACCCUACAUAAAGGGUGCCCCUUUCUCUUCUUUUUGAUACCCCAAUAGCAUAGCCAAAAAGAGGGUUAACAUAUCUUGGCUCAAAUACCUCUUGUUUUAGCAGAGAGGUAGUAUCUUAAAAUUUAAGAAAAAAUUUUAAGUAUUUAUUAGAUUUUUCCCCAUAUUUAUGCUUCAAUUUUCAAGCUUGUUUGUUUUGUUUUGUUUUGCUCUGUUUCGUUUUAAAGUCCUCAAGGUCUCCUAGCACCUUGUUUCUCUACACUAGGCCAAGGACCAGCAUCAAGGGCAUUUUAUGAGAGCAUUUUAGAAAUGCAAACCAUUAGGUCCCAUCCAGACCCACUGAAUCAGCACCUGCCUUUUAUCAAGAGUCUCAGGUGAUUCAUAGGCCCAUUAAAGUUUGAGACUCACUGCCCUAGCAUGCCAUCAGAAUGUUUUAAAUGGCCUUGAGAAUGAGGGAGAAGAUACAAGUGUUAUAAUCUCUCAAGGAUCAACAACUCACUCUAUUUCGAUUUGCCCAUACUUCCAAAUGGGAACAGAAGUGAUUUCAUAAAUAAUCAGCUGUCAGUCCCACACUGGUUCUCAGCCCCACUAAUUCUUAUUUCCCUACAGUUGAGGUCGCUUGAUUUCUAUCUGUAGGACUCCCUCACCUUGCCUCCUAUUUCUCGGAUCAACCCUUAUCUAAGAAAGGAAUGGCUUAACAAGUCCAAUUUUGUAUUCUGUGGCUGAAUCUCAAAUCACCCCCAAGUACUUCUGGCUCCUGCAGUUUAUGUAAAUUGGCUUCAGUCUUGUUCACUGCUCCUCUGUCUUCUGGCUAAUAGUAACUCAUCUAUGCAGCUUUUUUUCUCAAAAGCUGUAAUUCCUUUUCUUUUUUCUAUCCCUUCUGGUGCCUGGUACCUGCUGACCUAUGCUCUUGACAAGAAUUAACCACUUGGAUUUGCUGGUGACUCAGACAUUCUAUUAUUUGGCUUUGAUAUCCAAUUCUGACAAACUACGCAGGUACUAAUUUAGUGCCAAAACAGAAUAACUGAAUAAUAUAUAGUUAUUAUUAUUCUGAAUAACAGAAUAAUGUAUAGUUAUUAUAGUUAUAGUUAUUACUGAUAUCUUAAAAAUGUAGAGAUUAAAGCUGAACUUGCAAAAAUUAAAUGUCUGACUUUCUUAGAACUCUAUAUUCUGUCACUUUGUCAUAAUCAAGAGUUUGUUUUUCAAAACAUCAGAACUUAGAAAAAGGUGGUAACUUCGGGUAUUUCAGACAUUUUAUUCUGAAUCCACUAAGAGCAGAAGAUAUUAUUAAUUCAUUAUGUGAAAUGGAAGUUUUGGCAAAAACAAAGUCUAUGAAACUUUAGAAAAUAAGUGAUAAAGGUCAUUCAGAAAAUUAUACACAAAAGAUAAAAAUUUAGGGUUAGGCCUGUUAUUUGAAUGUUUAGGAAAUGAAAUCAACCUUAAAUCUUUGCUGCUGGCCUUUUUCCUGGCCCAGGGAUAUUAAUAUUUUCAGAACAUUGUUUUUCAUGUAUAUAUCUAUCUCAAACUAUCCACAAUGAAGAGAGAGCACCAGAGUUUUCUAGAAACCUACUUCUGUGCCUGACUUUUCCUUUACCCUUUGCUUUCGGACUACCUAAAUGCUGCCUGAGGUCUAACGUUUUAGAACAAAAUACAUUCAUUUCUCUCUGUCAUGUUACAUUUAAUUACUUCUAUUGCCAGUAUGCCCUCUAGGAUUCACAACAUCCUCUCCUUUUCCAAAACACGCACACACACACACACACACACACACACACACAGUCCCUCCACUUUGAUUCUCACAAUACUAUAUUACCAUCAUCAUCUUCUCACUGGCUUCUCAGUGUCUGUCUAUUCUGUCUCCAAAUAGUUCUGAGUAUGGCUUUCAGAUCACCUAGAAUUCUUCCUGCUCUAAUCAUGCCUGUUUCUUUAGUGAACUUAUCAACUUCCACAAAACAGAAAAUCAGUUCAAACUUCUCCACCCUAUCAACAACAACAACAAACCAAGAAAAAACAUGCAGAAUGGAAGAUGUUAUAUAUGUAUGCAUGUGGGUAUGUAUGUAUGUACAUUUAUGGGUCUGUCAGUAUAUAUCUGUACACAUGAAUAGCAAAGUACUAUUAGUACACAGAUCAAUGCAUUUUCAUAAACUGAACAUAAUCAGGUAACCAGUUCCCAUAUCAAAACAAGAGAACAUUCUUGCACACUCCUUAAAACCACUUUGUAUGAAGGCUAAAACUGGAUUCAGAAUUUCCCUUUUUACUGUGCUCAACACCCAUAUCAGUCAUGAGGGGUGGAUUAUAAGAUUGCAUUUUUUUCAUUUUAAUGCCACAUCUCCAUGAGGCCAUUGCAGCUCUACUAAACCUUACAUUUAUUCAUUAUCUGAAAUGUUUUUUUUUCCCAUGGAGAGGAAUGAAUUAUGGAGAAUUUCACAUAACUGAGAGCUGACAUGGUUUAUAUUCUUUUAACCAUCUUUCUCUGUAUUCUACCCAACCCAUAUAUUUCCUUAGAGUUGGUUCAAUUUUCUAGUUUACAGCUACAGACAUUAUCACCCUCAACACAGUGCUUAUUGACUGCAUGCCUACUAUGUAUUAAAUGCUGUGUAUAGCACUGUAAAUCAAACAGUACAAACAGAAGAUAUGGAUUUGACCCACAGAGUAUAAAAUCACAUUGGAAGAUAUUACAGGGUUUUUGCUUAAGGCUACUUUUCCCUAUUUGUCUGAACUGUGUUUUCAAAAUUGCAUGUAGGGCUUGUACCAAGGUUUUUGGCCCACCCUUGAAGUUUCUCUCUUUUUUUUUUAACAGAAUUUUAAGGUAGCCAGAACAUAUUUAUUAUGUCUUCAAUUUUUUAUGUGUCAUAUCUAAGACAUUUUGCCUCAUCCCAAUACACAAAGAUUUUCUCAUAGUUUCUAAAAGUUUUAUAGGUUAGUAUUUACAUUUAGAUCUAUGACCAUUCUGAGUUAAUUUUUGUAUGUGAGAUUUGAAUAUGAAUAUGAUAUAGGAAUCAAAAUUCUGAUUUUACUUGAUUUGCAUAUGGAUAUCCAAUUGUUCUCUACAAAUUUGUACAAAAAAUGAUCAUUUUCCACUAAAUUGCCUUCUGCUGUUUUGACAAAAAUCAGUUGUCCAUAUACAUGUGGGUCUGCUUCUAACUGUAUUGUUUUUUUUCCCCAUCUUUCUAACUUUAUGCCCAACCACAACUUCUUGAGUACUGUAGUUUUAUAAUAAGCAUUGCAAUCACAUAAUGUUAAUCCUUCAAAUGUUUCUUCUUUUUUAGUAUUUUAGCUAUUGUAAGUUCUUUGCAUUUCACGUGCAUAUUAGAAUCAGUUUGUCAGUUUCUACAAAAAAUCCUGCAGUGAUUUUCAUUGGCAUAACAUGGGAUAUAUAGAUCACUGGCGAAAAUUGAUAUCUUAACACUAUUAAAUCUUUUGAACUAUAUUAUUUCUUUUAUUUGGGUUUUUAGUUGAUCUCUACAAUUUUUUCUCCUUUUCAGCUUAACAGCUUUCCACAUCAUUAGUCAGAUUUAGGUCUACAUAUCUCAUAGUUUUUGACACUAAUGUAAAUGGUGUGUUUUUUUAAUCAAAUAAGAUAACUUUGUCAUAGUUAUUUAAGUGUUGGCUUUAGGAUUUUUAGUAUAUGUAUCUUUAACCCAUCACAGUCUAAUAAGUGAUAUUAUGCUGCUUCUCAGAUAAUACAUGAAACUCAGAAAAGUAUACUUUCAUUUCUAUCUCCUUCCAAGAGUCAUCUUCCCUACCCCCACUUUAACCAAAAAAAAAAAACCAACAAAACAAAACAAAACCCUGGUCACUCCAGUACUUUGUCUCGUGAGCUCUAGCUGCCUUGGUCUUUUUGGAAUCCAACUGUGUCUUCUCAUUUCAAUACUGAAAGGCUCCACCUGGCUUUCCCUCCUUCCAUUCUUUUAAGGAAAUGUCUUGGUAAUCAUGGGGCUUAACCUCAUUGGUUUUCCGCAGCAGGCUCAGGGAUAGGCCCCCCAAGAUGGCUACACCUUAAUCUCCAGAACCUGUGUUACCUGAUGUAGCAAAAGGGACUUUGCAGGUUUAAGUAAUCUAAGAGUCAGUCUUGCAAUGGGGAGAGCAACCUACUUUAUCCAGGAGAAACCAAUGUAAUCACAGUACUCUGUAUAAAAGGAAUUGAAAGAAGCUUCAGGGUCAGAGGAGAAGGUGAUGAAAUAUUGGACGCAGAACGGGAGUGAAACGUUUUGAAGAUAAAGUCAGAGGCCACAACCAAGGAAUGCUGGUGAUCACUAGAAGCUGAAAAAGGCAAUGAAAUUGAUUUUCCAUUCAGCCUCCAUAAGGAAUCAGCCCUGCUGGCACCUUCAUUUUAGUAUGGUGAAAUUCAUUUUGGACUUCUGAUCUCCAAAACUACAAUUCCAUUUAAGUAGUCACCUGUCCAAAAGGCUGUGAGUACCAGAGAUCAAAUGAUGGAGGAGGAUGGCAGAGCUAUUUCUUAUGACAGAGCCUGUCCUCAGCAAGUGUGUCCAGAAGAACAUGCACAUAGAAUUGAUUCUUUUUAUUUGAAUGACAUUCCUUGGGGCACAAACUAUGGACUCCUUGUAAUGUUCAACCCCAUUCUGACAUGUGUGGGAUGAUACAGCUCAUUAUGGAUUUGAUUUGCAUUUCCUUGAUGAUGAAUGGUGUUGAGAAUCUUUCCACAUGUCUCCUGGCAAUCUGGAUGUCUUCUGUGGAGAAAUGUAUGUUCAUAUCUUGUGCCCAUCUUAAUAGGAUUAUUUGUUUGGGGGGCAUUGAGUUGUAGAAGUUCUCUACGUAUUUUGGAAACUAACCCUUUAUCAGAUAUGUCAUUUGUAAAUAUCUUCUCACAUUCAGUAG